CAGCUGAGCUAAACAUGUCAGAGAUGAGUUGUGUGUCUGGAGAGAGACAGACAGCAGCAUGCUGUGUGAGAGGAUCCAUUGUUGGAUUGUGUACCUACUGGGAGACUGCAGGACAUGAACAGGGACCCCAAGUUAGACUUUCUAAUGGUUAUGGUAGUUAGAGUUUACAGAAAUCUGCAUUAAGCCUCAUCUAGUUCUACGGAAUUAUCAAAUCCCAUCUUACCAGUCCGCCCAGGAGCUCAGCAAAUUCCAAUUGCAAGUCGUGAGCAAGCAGUUUCUAGAAUAUAAAAAAAGUAAAAACGUGUCUCUAUUAUUACUUUUUAUACCUGUCCAAUACACAUCUGCAUGUUAUGUAAAACUGUAAACUCUGUUUUAUUAAAACACCCCCUGCUCAGCAAGUUAUACUAGGGUCAUGGUUUUUAAAAGGUUAGGGUUUAAU